UUUUUUUUUUUUUUUUUUUUUGUUAUAUGCAACAUAAAAAUAUUAAAACCAUACCAAAUUUUGGAAAAUAAAUAUACUAGCAUCGGCGCUACCGGCGAAUCUUCAUUUCCAUAAAUGAUAACUCCAAUUUGAUUUAGUCUACGUCUAAAGUAUCUGACAUUUCUUGCCAAUUGUUUGAUACGUUUCUUUCCAGCAUCAGUUCCAUCCUCGCCCGAGAUGAUUCUCAUAGAUGCGAUAAUUUGUUGGGCGACGGGAGGUGACAUUGCAAUUGCCUAUAUAUCCGCCAGCAGAUCCAAAACUUUUCGUAAAUGUUCCCAUAAGUAUGUCGACUUCCCGUGGAUCUAUAUUAUAAUAAUCACAAACUCCUCGUCCAUGAUUUCCUAUUGCCCCUAUACUAUGAGCCUCGUCCACGUAAAGAUAGGCCUAAAUUUAAUGACAAUAAUGAGUAUUAUUAACUCUUUGCGAUCGUAAUACUUUUCGAUCGCAAAGAGUUAAAAACAUAUAAUGAUAAUGAUAUAUUUCAGUUGAAUAAUUCAGAAAAAUCUCUCUUUGCAUAUUUCCAACGAACAUUACCUAACAAAUAUGAAAUAAUCAAAUGUAAUGUCUUAAUAUUUAUAUUAAAAUUAAUGAUAAUGA